GACGAACGCUGGCGGCGUGCUUAACACAUGCAAGUCGAACGGAGCGAAUGAAAGCUUGCUUUUAUAAGCUUAGUGGCAAACGGGUGAGUAACACGUAGACAACCUGCCGACAGGAUGGGGACAACAUUCCGAAAGGAAUGCUAAUACCGAAUGAAGCGGAGGAGAGGCAUCUCUCCUCUGAGAAAGAUGGCCUCUUUUUAUGCUAUCACCUGUUGAUGGGUCUGCGUCUGAUUAGCUGGUAGGUGAGGUAACGGCUCACCUAGGCGACGAUCAGUAGCCGGUCUGAGAGGAUGAACGGCCACAUUGGGACUGAGACACGGCCCAGACUCCUACGGGAGGCAGCAGUGGGGAAUCUUCCGCAAUGGGCGCAAGCCUGACGGAGCAACGCCGCGUGAGUGAAGAAGGUCUUCGGAUCGUAAAGCUCUGUUGAUGGGGACGAACGUGCCUAAUGCGAAUA
rnacentral:rRNA from 1 species